rnacentral:piRNA from 2 species
UCUUCGGUAGUAUAGUGGUCAGUAUCCC